rnacentral:rRNA from 1 species
AUGUGGUUUAAUUCGAAGCAACGCGAAGAACCUUACUUGACAUCCCACUGACCUCUCCCUAAUCGGAGAUUUCCCUUCGGGGACAGUGGUGACAGGUGGUGCAUGGUUGUCGUCAGCUCGUGUCGUGAGAUGUUGGGUUAAGUCCCGCAACGAGCGCAACCCUUGCCUUUAGUUGCCAGCAUUAAGUUGGGCACUCUAGAGGGACUGCCGAGGAUAACUCGGAGGAAGGUGGGGAUGACGUCAAAUCAUCAUGCCCCUUAUGCUUAGGGCUACACACGUGCUACAAUGGGUGGUACAGAGGGUUGCCAAGCCGCGAGGUGGAGCUAAUCCCUUAAAGCCAUUCUCAGUUCGGAUUGUAGGCUGAAACUCGCCUACAUGAAGCUGGAGUUACUAGUAAUCGCAGAUCAGAAUGCUGCGGUGAAUGCGUUCCCGGGUCUUGUACACACCGCCCGUCACACCACGGGAGUUGGGGGCGCCCGAAGCCGGUUAGCUAACCUUUUAGGAAGCGGCCGUCGAAGGUGAAACCAAUAACUGGGGAAGUCGUAACAAGGUAGCCGUA